rnacentral:rRNA from 1 species
ACGAACGCUGGCGGCGUGCUUCACACAUGCAAGUCGAACGGAAAGGCCCUGCUUUUGUGGGGUGCUCGUGUGGCGAACGGGUGAGUAACACGUGAGUCACCUGCCCUUGACUUUGGGAUAACUUCAGGAAACUGGGGCUAAUACCGGAUAGGAGCUCCUGCUGCAUGGUGGGGGUUGGAAAGUUUCGGCGGUUGGGGAUGGACUCGCGGCUUAUCAGCUUGUUGGUGGGGUAGUGGCUUACCAAGGCUUUGACGGGUAGCCGGCCUGAGAGGGUGACCGGCCACAUUGGGACUGAGAUACGGCCCAGACUCCUACGGGAGGCAGCAGUGGGGAAUAUUGCACAAUGGGCGGAAGCCUGAUGCAGCAACGCCGCGUGCGGGAUGACGGCCUUCGGGUUGUAAACCGCUUUCGCCUGUGACGAAGCGUGAGUGACGGUAAUGGGUAAAGAAGCACCGGCUAACUACGUG